GUCAGGAUAGCUCAGUUG
rnacentral:tRNA from 37 species